GCUUGACUCCCGACUGUCCCACGGCUGGUCCCACCUGCAGUUCCGGAGCCUUCGCAAUAUCUGAGGGGAUCUGAGCCCGGGAAAGGUGAUGGGGAACUGGACUCCAGGAGGUGCCAUGAGGAAUUGAAACCCAGCAGUGUCAGAGUGGACCUACCGGGAGAGGGCUCCGAUGUGUACACACUCCGGACAGUCCCCUCCUCUGUGACGCCCUGAGCACCAGGGAAGCAGAAUGGAGCCUCGGGAACGAAAGAGGUGCUGUGCCAUGAGGGGAUUCCCCGGCACGUAUGGGGAGCAACUUGGUGAGGAGCAUGGAGAGAAACAGAAAUCCAAAUCAGGGGCCCUUUAACAAUCAGGGCUCAGACACCCCAGCCUGGGCGUCUCCGCCUGUGGCCAAUCAUCCAACUGCCCUCAUACACACACGGAGCAGGGCCCAACCCCACCAGCAGGAGUCAGCAGGGACACGCACACA